rnacentral:rRNA from 1 species
ACCGGCUCGGUCUGUGUCACAAGCCUAACACAUGCAAGUCGAACGGUAACAGGAAGCAGCUUGCUGCUUUGCUGACGAGUAGGCGGACGGGUGAGUAAAUGUCUGGUGAAACUGCCUUGAUUGUGAUGAGGAGGAUUAAACCUACUUGGAAACGUGGUAGCUUAAUUACCUGCAUUAACAGAUCAGCAAAGACCAAAUGAAGUGGNGAGACCUUCAGAGUGCCUUCUUAUGCCAAUCUAGGAUUAGUUGCCCAGAAUGNGNGAUUUAUAGCUUAAGU